UACGUAGGGCGCAAGCGUUAUCCGGAAUUAUUGGGCGUAAAGAGCUCGUAGGCGGUUUGUCGCGUCUGCCGUGAAAGUCCGGGGCUCAACUCCGGAUCUGCGGUGGGUACGGGCAGACUAGAGGUAGGCAGGGGAGAGCGGAACUCCUGGUGUAGCGGUGGAAUGCGCAGAUAUCAGGAAGAACACCGGUGGCGAAGGCGGCUCUCUGGGACGGUACUGACGCUGAGACGCGAAAGCGUGGGGAGCGAACAGG
rnacentral:rRNA from 1 species